UUCUACAGUUCUACUUCUUGGGUUUUGGAACCCUCCCUGGCCAGCGCAUUCUCGCCAGCGUUAUCGCCGGAGGUUCGAACCAGCAUCCGGAGCUCGAAAUCUCUCAGAUGUUGGUUCUCAGAUCUUAUAAGAAACUAUGAAGCCAUUCAGGCUUUGAUCAUGGUGAGGAAUGGCUGAACUACAAAUUUUAC